rnacentral:rRNA from 1 species
UACGGAGGGCGCAAGCGUUAUCCGGAAUUAUUGGGCGUAAAGAGCUCGUAGGCGGUUUGUCGCGUCUGCCGUGAAAGUCCGGGGCUCAACUCCGGAUCUGCGGUGGGUACGGGCAGACUAGAGUGAUGUAGGGGGAGACUGGAAUUCCUGGUGUAGCGGUGAAAUGCGCAGAUAUCAGGAGGAACACCGAUGGCGAAGGCAGGUCUCUGGGCAUUAACUGACGCUGAGGAGCGAAAGCAUGGGGAGCGAACAGG